UCGAGAAUCAUUCACAAUGGGGGAAACCCUGAUGGUGCGACGCCGCGUGGGGGAAUGAAGGUCUUCGGAUUGUAAACCCCUGUCAUGUGGGAGCAAAUUAAAAAGAUAGUACCACAAGAGGAAGAGACGGCUAACUCUGUGCCAGCAGCCGCGGUAAUACAGAGGUCUCAAGCGUUGUUCGGAAUCACUGGGCGUAAAGCGUGCGUAGGCGGUUUCGUAAGUCGUGUGAGAAAGGCGGGGGCUCAACCCCCGGACUGCACAUGAUACUGCGAGACUAGAGUAAUGGAGGGGGAACCGGAAUUCUCGGUGUAGCAGUGAAAUGCGUAGAUAUCGAGAGGAACACUCGUGGCGAAGGCGGGUUCCUGGACAUUAACUGACGCUGAGGCACGAAGGCCAGGGGAGCGAAAGGG
rnacentral:rRNA from 1 species